AUUGAACGCUGGCGGCAGGCUUAACACAUGCAAGUCGAGCGGGGGGAGGUAGCUUGCUACCUAACCUAGCGGCGGACGGGUGAGUAAUGCUUAGGAAUCUGCCUAUUAGUGGGGGACAACAUUUCGAAAGGGAUGCUAAUACCGCAUACGCCCUAAGGGGGAAAGCAGGGGAUCUUCGGACCUUGCGCUAAUAGAUGAGCCUAAGUCGGAUUAGCUAGUUGGUGGAGUAAAGGCCUACCAAGGCGACGAUCUGUAGCGGGUCUGAGAGGAUGAUCCGCCACACUGGGACUGAGACACGGCCCAGACUCCUACGGGAGGCAGCAGUGGGGAAUAUUGGACAAUGGGGGGAACCCUGAUCCAGCCAUGCCGCGUGUGUGAAGAAGGCCUUUUGGUUGUAAAGCACUUUAAGCGAGGAGGAGGCUACCGAGAUUAAUACUCUUGGAUAGUGGACGUUACUCGCAGAAUAAGCACCGGCUAACUCUGUGCCAGCCGCCGCUGUAAGAC
rnacentral:rRNA from 1 species